rnacentral:hammerhead_ribozyme from 1 species
UGCUGACGAGUCCCAAGUAAGACGAAACGCGCGUCCA